AGCUUACAAUGGGAUGACAUUAACUGGCCCUUGAAUAUUGGCACUGGAAUUGGCCCUUGUAUCUAACAUCCGUAGAUAAGCACCCACUGAUCCGUUCCAAGUAAGAUUUUGAUAACUGCCUUGAACUGGAAUCAACGUAGCUCCCGUAGUUAAAAAUUGAUCUUAAUCGCAUUCCUCCCAAACCUUGGCUCUAUUAAAGGAUGC
rnacentral:lncRNA from 1 species